AUCACACCCACCUUGGGUUUGGAAUGAAUGGAUAUAACUUUGGUGUUAUGAGCUAUUUCUGACGUUGGUGUUUUUUUAAGGGGAAACACUCAACAGGGGAGCCAUUAAAAGGGGACUAGGUGGAGGUUGCACAGAGGAGAUCCCUAGAAGACUUCUCCCCCACAAGCCCGUUUGUCUCCAGUCCUCUCAGGGGCCCCUCCAUCACAUGAACAGGAACCAACUUCCCAGGUAGAGCUGUCUUCUUUCUUCAGGUCUGCCCUCAAGUAGUACCUGCCUAGUUCAAUGACAGGACAGAGCAAUUAGUAUUUCUUGUAGACUUGGUGAGGGGCUGUCUGUCCCUUCACUGAGUGGCCAGAUCAGUAGACUGAGCUUGCCUUGGUUAUGUCCAUACUUCAUUCUGUGUCAGGCUACUUAAACACCGUGCUCUUUGAAAACCGCUAAGGCCAUGAAAGAAGAUUGAGCUCAUCUCAGCCCAGGAAGAGACCCAGAGACCAAAGGACUAG
rnacentral:lncRNA from 1 species